rnacentral:rRNA from 1 species
AGAAUCAACGCUGGCGGCGUGCCUAACGCAUGCAAGUCGAACGAGAAAGUGGGAGCAAUCCCAUUAGUAAAGUGGCGCACGGGUGAGUAACACGUGACUAACCUACCCUUGAGUGGGGGAUAACCUAGGGAAACCUGGGCUAAUACCGCAUAAUACCUACGGGUCAAAGGAGCAAUUCGCUUUAGGAGGGGGUCGCGGCAGAUUAGUUAGUUGGCGGGGUAAUGGCCCACCAAGACAGUGAUCUGUAUCCGGCCUGAGAGGGCGCACGGACACACUGGAACUGAAACACGGUCCAGACUCCUACGGGAGGCAGCAGUGGGAAUUUUGCGCAAUGGGGGAAACCCUGACGCAGCAACGCCGCGUGGAGGAUGAAGCCCCUUGGGGCGUAAACUCCUUUCGAUCGGGAAGAUAAUGACGGUACCGGAAGAAGAAGCCCGGCUAACUUCGUGCCAGCAGCCGC